UACGUAGGGCGCAAGCGUUAUCCGGAAUUAUUGGGCGUAAAGAGCUCGUAGGCGGUUUGUCGCGUCGGCCGUGAAAGUCCGGGGCUCAACUCCGGAUCUGCGGUGGGUACGGGCAGACUAGAGUGAUGUAGGGGAGACUGGAAUUCCUGGUGUAGCGGUGAAAUGCGCAGAUACCAGGAGGAACACCGAUGGCGAAGGCAGGUCUCUGGGCAUUAACUGACGCUGAGGAGCGAAAGCAUGGGGAGCGAACAGG
rnacentral:rRNA from 1 species